GGUUGUCUGCUGUCUGGUAGGAGGGCUUUGUCUGUGUGUGUCUUUCUCUCUCUCUCUCUCUCCCUCCCUCCCUCCCUUUCUCCCUCUCUCUCUCUCUCUCUCUGUCUCUCGCACUCUCGCUUGCUCUCGCUCUCUCUCUCUCUCUCUCUCUCUCUCCCUUUCCCGUCUCUGUGGUUUGUAAGGUAGGUUGCAGUGUGUGUAUAUACACAACAUCAAGAGCAGGAAAAUGGACUCAUUAGGGAGGCAGGCAGUCAUUACCACUCACACUGUACUUCCAGAGAGACAGCGACUAUGAGGAGACAAACUGAGGACUGGGGAACAAGCAGCAUAAAAAGGAAGUGUUAGGAGCUGCUCUUAACCUUUUUGGAGUCCGAAGUCAAAAGGGAACUAGAGGGCUUGACACAUCCUUUACAUCCUGCAUUUACUCUGACCACAGUCCCUGCCUGUUCUCACAAGUGGAGCUCAACCCUGCUUCCCUUCCUGUUGAUUCCCAGUCAGCUACAUGGGAUCAGGAUUUUCAACACAAAAUCAUUCCUUUUUCAUUUCAGAGGAAAGGAAAUUACAGUAAGUCUCCUUAAAUUAAACUAUUUUUGUUUCAGUAGUUUCAGGCCAUUUCAUCGGAAUUCUAAACGGAAAGAUUUUUGUUUUCUUUUUGCAAGGCAACUUUUGUGAAGAUAAAGGAAAAAACUUCAAAUUUUUGAGGAGGAAAAAUGCUUCCUGCCUGGCUCCAGUUGGACACCCCUGUUGAACAUUGCAAGCUGCAAUCAAACUGAGCUGUAGAGCUGGUUCAGAGUUUGCAGUGCGAGUCCCCGCUCAGCGAUGAGAAUGAGAUUUGAAUAUUCUGCGGUGGUGGUACAUCUGGGUUUAGGUCUAAUCACCUUCUGAAACAAUCCACUCUAACACAGUACAACUAUCAGAAGUAUCUACAUUACUGGUAAUAUUCACACAUACAAAAACACUCUCCUUCUCUAGAAAGCUGAAAGGGAGCUUGCUUUGUGUAAUUAUUUAAGGGCACAGUACAGACCAAGAGGUAACAUGUGGGACAACUUCUCAGUGGCCUUCAUUUAAGUUCAUUAGCUAACUCCUGUGCAAUGCCUAGCUAUGCAGCCUGUUGUGGGUACUGCAGAUCUGUGUAAUCUCUGGCUCGUAGCCAUGAACUAGCCCUUCCCUGCCUUUCUUAAAACAACACAUGCAAAUGCUAUCCAACCGUUUAUUUUAUUCAUGUAAAUUUUUGCCCAUGCAAAUUCCAACCACAGAGUUCCUUCAUAACACACGAAGAAGAGGUUGAGAUGUUCUUUUAAAUGGAAAAAAAACAACAGUAAUAGCUAAGUAGUGCCAUCUUUUUUUUUCCUUUCCCUCUUUAAUCAAACCAACGUUGCUCAGACUUCAGUGAGACUUCUGCAUCAGUGAGGCCGUCAGGAUUUGUCCCAACAGGUGUUAACUCUUCUCAGCCCUAAAGGGAGCUUUCUUUGUGUCCUGGUGUCCUCCUCUUAGAGGGACCAAUGGGGGCAGGAAACUGGGAGGUUAGGACAGGCUGUUGGAGAACCUGCGCUGGCAUCAGCUGUCCAUCACUGGCAGGGAGCUGCUAGUUGACAUUUGAGAGAAUGCGCUUUACAUGAGCAAGUGAUGAGUGAAUGGAAAUUAAAACAAAAGGAUUGAAAACAGAGCUGUA
rnacentral:lncRNA from 1 species